AUGAAGUCGGAAUUGCUAGUAAUCGCGGAUCAGCAUGCCGCGGUGAAUACGUUCCCGGGCCUUGUACACACCGCCCGUCACACCAUGGGAGCCGGUAAUACCCGAAGUCAAUGGUCUGACCGCAAGGAGGACGUUGCCGAAGGUAGGAUUGGCGACUGGGGUGAAGUCGUAACAAGGUACC
rnacentral:rRNA from 1 species